rnacentral:rRNA from 1 species
UACGGGGGGAGCAAGCGUUGUUCGGAUUUACUGGGCGUAAGGGGCGCGUAGGCGGCCACCGCAAGUCGACUGUGAAAUCUCCGGGCUUAACCCGGAAAGGUCAGCCGAUACUGCGGGGCUAGAGUGCAGAAGGGGCAACUGGAAUUCUCGGUGUAGCGGUGAAAUGCGUAGAUAUCGAGAGGAACACCUGCGGCGAAGGCGGGUUGCUGGGCUGACACUGACGCUGAUGCGCGAAAGCUAGGGGAGCAAACGGG